UACGGGGGGGGUAAGCGUUGUUCGGAAUUACUGGGCGUAAAGGGCUCGUAGGCGGCCAACUAAGUCGGACGUGAAAUCCCUCAGCUUAACUGGGGAACUGCGUCCGAUACUGGAUGGCUUGGAUUCGGGAGAGGAAUGCGGAAUUCCAGGUGUAGCGGUGAAAUGCGUAGAUAUCUGGAGGAACACCGGUGGCGAAAGCGGCGCACUGGACCACAUCUGACGCUGAGGCGCGAAAGCUAGGGGAGCAAACAGG
rnacentral:rRNA from 1 species